CAGUCGCCACGGUAAUACGGAGGGAGCUAGCGUUGUUCGGAAUUACUGGGCGUAAAGCGCGCGUAGGCGGUUACUCAAGUCAGAGGUGAAAGCCCGGGGCUCAACCCCGGAACUGCCUUUGAAACUAGGUGACUAGAAUCUUGGAGAGGUCAGUGGAAUUCCGAGUGUAGAGGUGAAAUUCGUAGAUAUUCGGAAGAACACCAGUGGCGAAGGCGACUGACUGGACAAGUAUUGACGCUGAGGUGCGAAAGCGUGGGGAGCAAACAGGAUUAGAGACCCGCGUAGUCCCUGUCUCUUAUAC
rnacentral:rRNA from 1 species